UACGGAGGAUACAAGCGUUAUCCGGAAUGAUUGGGCGUAAAGGGUCCGUAGGUGGUGAUGUAUGUCUAUUGUCAAAGGUUCUGGCUUAACCAGAGACAGGCAGUAGAAACUGCAAAACUAGAGUGCAGUCGGGGCAGGGGGAAUUCCUGGUGUAGCGGUGAAAUGCGUAGAGUUCAGGAAGAACACCGGUGGCGAAAGCGCCCUGCUAGGCUGUGACUGACAAUGAGGGACGAAAGUUAGGGGAGCGAAUGGG
rnacentral:rRNA from 1 species